CGCGUAGGCGGCUUGACAAGUCAGAUGUGAAAUCCCCGAGCUUAACUUGGGAAUUGCAUCUGAAACUGUCGAGCUUGAGUCCUGGAGGGGAUAGUGGAAUUCCCAGUGUAGCGGUGAAAUGCGUAGAUAUUGGGAGGAACACCUGCGGCGAAGGCGGCUAUCUGGACAGUGACUGACGCUGAGGCGCGAAAGCUAGGGGAGCGAACG
rnacentral:rRNA from 1 species